GCGUCCUUGGUGUAGGGUAAUACACAUCCUGUUUGUAUCAAGUCGAAGACAACAAGUCUUCAGGAUGAGACCGGGGUUCGACUCCCCGAGGACGCA